rnacentral:rRNA from 1 species
UACGGGGGGAGCAAGCGUUGUUCGGAUUUACUGGGCGUAAAGGGCGCGUAGGCGGCCAGCGCAAGUCAGUUGUGAAAUCUCCGGGCUUAACUCGGAAAGGUCAACUGAUACUGCGCGGCUAGAGUGCAGAAGGGGCAACUGGAAUUCUUGGUGUAGCGGUGAAAUGCGUAGAUAUCAAGAGGAACACCUGCGGCGAAGGCGGGUUGCUGGGCUGACACUGACGCUGAGUGUGCGAAAGCCAGGGGAGCGAACGGG